rnacentral:tRNA from 1 species
GGGGUCGCAUGCCCAAGGCCGGCGACACUGCCUUGCAAGCAGCGUGUGCCGGGUUCGAUUCCCGGAGGCUCCA